AUUGAACGCUGGCGGCAUGCUUUACACAUGCAAGUCGGACGGUAACAGGGUGCUUGCACCGCUGACGAGUGGCGAACGGGUGAGUAAUGCGUCGGAACGUGCCGAGUAGUGGGGGAUAACGCAGCGAAAGUUGUGCUAAUACCGCAUACGUACUGAGGUAGAAAGUGGGGGACCUUCGGGCCUCACGCUAUUCGAGCGGCCGACGUCUGAUUAGCUAGUAGGUGAGGUAAAGGCUCACCUAGGCGACGAUCAGUAGCGGGUCUGAGAGGAUGAUCCGCCACACUGGGACUGAGUCACGGCCCAGACUCCUACGGGAGGCAGCAGUGGGGAAUUUUGGACAAUGGGCGAAAGCCUGAUCCAGCCAUGCCGCGUGUCUGAAGAAGGCCUUCGGGUUGUAAAGGACUUUUGUCAGGGAGGAAAUCCCUAGUGCUAAUAACACUGGGGGAUGACAGUACCUGAAGAAUAAGCACCGGCUAACUACGUGCCAGCAGCCGCAGUAA
rnacentral:rRNA from 1 species